UACAGAGGGGGCAAGCGUUGUUCGGAAUUACUGGGCGUAAAGGGCGCGUAGGCGGCCUGUUAAGUCGAACGUGAAAUCCCCAGGCUCAACCUGGGAACUGCGUCCGAUACUGGCAGGCUUGAAUCCGGGAGAGGGAUGCGGAAUUCCAGGUGUAGCGGUGAAAUGCGUAGAUAUCUGGAGGAACACCGGUGGCGAAGGCGGCAUCCUGGACCGGUAUUGACGCUGAGGCGCGAAAGCCAGGGGAGCAAGCGGG
rnacentral:rRNA from 1 species